rnacentral:rRNA from 1 species
CCUACGGGAGGCUGCAGUGAGGAAUAUUGGUCAAUGGACGAGAGUCUGAACCAGCCAAGUAGCGUGAAGGAUGACUGCCCUAUGGGUUGUACACUUCUUUUAUAUGGGAAUAAAACAGGGUAUGCAUACCCUCUUGUAUGUACCAGAUGAAUAAGGAUCGGCUAACUCCGUGCCAGCAGCCGCGGUAAUACGGAGGAUCCGAGCGUUAUCCGGAUUUAUUGGGGUUAAAGGGAGCGUAGGUGGAUUGUUAAGUCAGUUGUGAAAGUUUGCGGCUCAACCGUAAAAUUGCAGUUGAAACUGGCAGUCUUGAGUAGAGUAGAGGUGGGCGGAAUUCGUGGUGUAGCGGUGAAAUGCUUAGAUAUCACGAAGAACUCCGAUUGCGAAGGCAGCGCACUGGACUGAAACUGACACUGAGGCUCGAAAGCGUGGGUAUCAAACAGGAUUAGAUACCCCAGUAGUC